UACGUAGGGGGCAAGCGUUGUCCGGAGUUACUGGGCGUAAAGCGCACGCAGGCGGUCUCUUAAGUUUGGAGUGACAGUUGGUGGCUUAACUGCCAAAGUGCUUCGAAAACUGAGAGACUUGAGGGCUUCAGAGGGACACGGAAUUCCGGGUGGAGUGGUGAAAUGCGUAGAGAUCCGGAGGAACACCAAAGGCGAAGGCAGUGUCCGGGGAGUACCUGACGCUCAGGUGCGAAAGCCAGGGGAGCGAACGGG
rnacentral:rRNA from 1 species